AUGCACGAAUGCAUUUUUUUCAGAUGGAACUGUCCGCAGCCAAUGAGCUGUCGCCUUAAUUUUCAGCCAAUCACAUUAGCUUAGCCCCACGGGGACGGUUACGCCCAUCACAUUUUGCGGAGGGGUCAGAGGUCAGAUUCAAGAUGGCGUCAGGAGGCAAUUCUGUGGAAUAAAUUGACGCAGCCAGUUCCCGCCUGAGGGCCCAGGGGAGCUGGAACUUGCUUAUGCUGGCCUUGGGAAAAGGAUUAUUAGUACACACAGUGAGAUUGUGGCUCUCCUUGAGGAGGAGUUUCCAAAACCAAAAUUAUUAAAAGGAUGAUGGAUGUUCUUCAAAUCUACAGGUGGGAGCAGACGUUGCAAGCUGUCCAUAAUCCCUACUGACAACGAGGGGUACUCCACAAGGCUCCUCAAAUCAGUGUCCAACAACGGCAAAGACAUAGUGUUUGUUGUUCCACUACAGGAGCAACUUUCCACCGAAGCGCUUCCUUUUGAUUCGCCAGAGUUCGCAAAGAUGCCACAGUCAUGCUGCAUUUCAUGUGGCAGUGAAAUGCCUUUGCAGAGGUUGCCGCUGCAUGUAGAGGGAUGCGAUGGCAAAGUGACUGAGAGUGAACCUGAGUGAAGAUUGCCAAGUUAUUAUGCAGCCUUUUCCACCAUGACAGGGAUGGGGGAAUCCUCAGAGGUUUGCCCAGUCUGUCUCGUAUCAUACCCAGUUGGUAUCCUCCCAUCUCACACAAGCACAUGUGGUGACAGAAUGGGCAGUGCUCUCUGCAGUGGAACAGCUAUGGAAAAAGAAUUACCAGGACCUUCUGUCCCACGAUUACCACCAUCUUUUUCAUCAGGUGCAGUUAAAGUCACCUGCCAUUAUACAAGCGCCGGAUAAAGAAGCCAUGGUAAGAAAUAGAUUUUGGAAAAACUUGGGUUCGUCUGUAUUUGGAGCAUAGACAUUUAUUAGGAUUAAUUGUUCUCUAAGAAUUGCCCCUUGAAUGAUCAAAUAUCGUCCUGCCUUAUCUUUGAUAACAUUAUGAAUUUGAAAUGGUAUAGAGUCGUGGAUUAAGAUCAUAACACCCCUUGCUUGAGAGGUAAAGGGAGCUGAUAGAAUUCUACCUUUCCACCUCCUCCUCACUUUAAGCUCAUCUUCCUGCGUUAGGUGAGUUUCUUGCAGAAAUAUUAUUUUAGACUGUAAAAUUUUAAUCCUGUUCAUAACUUGUUUGACCUUUUUUGUUUUUUGUAGCCCUCUGCAGUUCCAGGAUGUAAUUCUAACCUUAAGAUCAACAGACAUAAGGACCCAUUGUUUUGAAUUUUCCCAACAGUUUCAGUAUUUUCAGACCAAACAACAGAAAAAAAGAACAGUAAACAAACUUAUUACCCUCAACUAACAUCAAUCCACCUGAGUAUUACCACGUCAGGUGUCUCCCUCCCCUUAUUUUGUUGGACGUCCCGAAAGCAAAGAGCUGAUCCACACGAGGGUUAUUUAGAGAAUAGCUAUGGCCCGGUCCAGUCAGCAGCCUCAGUACAGCUGUAGUAACCCAGAGCAGUCAACUCCCCCUGCACAGGAUGGUGGGUCAUUCUUGGACAGAUGGAAUGUACCAUCUGACCGGCCACACCCAGAAGAGGAGGAGAUAGUGAGAGAUGAGUGUGAUUCAGCAGUGUCUGGAGCUCCACCUGCUGAGCAUGACUCAUUUUGGAUUAAUUUUUAAUAUUUCCAGACAUUUCUCAAACCAGAGCUGCAGGCCCUGCUCGCCCUCCCUCGUACUCAGCACGGACAGGGUAGAACCAAAGAAAAUUCUCUGGACGCGCCCCAGCUGUAGCUGAUCAAGCCGUUUUGUGAGGAUCUGGAUCAGUGACUGAGUGAGGACGAGCAACACGUUGCUGCCAUCCACUGCAAAGCAGGAAAAGGCCAAACAGUUGUGAUAAUCUGGGCCUACCUGCUGCACCGGGGCAAGUUCCAGGAGGCGCUGGGCUUCUACAGAGAGGUCCUGACACGAGACAAGAAGUGUGUGACCAUCCCCAGUCAGCGGCACUGUGUCAUCUACUACAGCUUCCUGCUGAGGAACCAGCUGCUGUACAAACCCGUCGCUCUGCUCUUCCACAAGAUGCUGUUUGAAACCAUCCCCAUGUUUACUGGAGGAACCUGCAAACCCUGCAAGUCCUGCCACAAGAUGAACAAGAUAAUGAAGAAGAUGAAGUGGAGGACAAGCUCAAAGGUGCAGGCACUGAUGGGAAACCUCCUCAGGCCGCGAUGUGAAGUUCAUUGUGAAAGACUCAGUAGAGGAGAAGAUGGUGGAGAUCCAGAGGGGGAAGCAGGACCUGGUGGAGAAGGCUUUUGGCUCCAAGAACAAUGACAGGAAAACAUCUUGCAUCAAUGACAUCAAGGCUCUGAUGGAGCUAUAGAUGUCUGACAAUGGGCCUGAGCUAAUGUGUCAACAGUGCAACAAGACAAACUUUGAACCAUUACAACAGUUGACUGUGUCCUCUAUUGUUGUCUCAGUUCAUAUCUGAGAGUUUUUGCACACGUUGUUAAUGUUUGCUUCCUACUUUGAAUUUGAUAUUUUGCUUUCAUAGUUUAUCAUUUUUGUUCUAUUUUGAUUCCAGCUGUUUUAUUAAAAUUUUGAUAAGUAGUUUUGUAAGUUUAAUUGUUCUAAGUAGUUGCCAUUAUUUGUUUUGCUUUUAGUCCAGACAUAUAUUUAUGGAUCGCCAACACAUUCAGCACACAAACGAGUGCUUUGGCAGUAUGUACAGUGUUACCUCAUGCCAAUAAAGCCAGUUGAAUUGAGAGAGAGA